rnacentral:snRNA from 1 species
GUGCUCACUUCGGCAGCACAUAUACUGAAA